AUUUUCUCAGUUGAAGGGUUUUUAAACCCUAGCGCCGCCUUAAGGCGACUUUCUCUCUCCCAUGUGGUUCACUAUUUUUGGCAAACUUUCAGAGUGCCACAGGCAUGACACAGUCGUGGUGUGUGCUUUUUGAGGAAAAUCAUUUAAUGCUUCUUCCUCUUUCAUCAAAAAUCAAGCCAAACGAGGAGAAAAGGGUCUUCUAAAGUUCAAUCUAUUCUAGGCUGCACCAUAAAAAGAUUUUGGGCGAAACGGGAAUUGAAUUUGGAAAGGCGUAAAGAGCAUAUAAGGUACAGACUACAGAUAUGCUGAUCCGCAUGUUUAGGACUAUAUUCUGCCAUCUUGGAGUGCUCUAUUGUUCGGAGCCUAUGUUUGGUACAGUCCUUGCUAUGGUACAUUUGUAUGUUGUUCAGGGGUAUGACGGGGCCCUGUCCCGUCUUAUGAUUCUGAUGUGUUCUGUAGAGGUCUGUAGACAUACAUGUGGGUUCUGCAUAUGAUUUGGGUUGGUAUGAUCUGUGACAGCCUGAUCGGCUUCCUUGUGCUUUAUCCGUUAAUCUGUGAUAAUUAAUA